GAUAAACGCUGGCGGUGUGCUUUAUGCAUGCAAGUCGAACGAUUUCGAUUUAUCGAGAUAGUGGCAAACGGGUGAGUAACACGUAAGUAACCUGCCCCUAAGUAAGGAAUAACUCUGAGAAAUUGGAGCUAAUACUGUAUGUGGUGGUGGGGGUAAGGCUCCAUCACUAAAGCCUUCGGGUGCUUGGGGAGGGGCUUGCGUCUGAUUAGCUAGUUGGUAAGGUAAUGGCCUACCAAGGCGACGAUCGGUAGCUGGUUUAAGAGGACAAUCAGCCACACUGGGACUGAGACACGGCCCAGACUCCUACGGGAGGCAGCAGCAAGGAAUAUUGUGCAAUGGGCGAAAGCCUGACACAGCGACACCGCGUGGGGGAUGAAGGCCUUCGGGUUGUAAACCCCUUUUCCCAGGGAAGAAAAAUGACGGUACCUGGGGAAUAAGUCUUGGCUAACUACGUG
rnacentral:rRNA from 1 species